GAAAAUUAAAGUUUUUGAUCGUCGGGGCCAUGUUGCAAAGCUCUGCAUUGUAUUUCUUCCUCUACUUGCUGCUGCCCUUGUGGCAAUCUCUCGAGUGGAUGAUUAUUGGCAUCAUUGGCAAGAUGUGUUUACUGGUGGCUCUUUAGGUUUGAUAGUUGCUUCCAUCUGUUAUCUGCAAUUCUUUCCACCACCUUAUGAUUCUGAAGGUUGGGCGCCUCAUGCUUAUUUUCGGAUGUUAGCGGAUAUUCGC
rnacentral:misc_RNA from 1 species